AUCGUUUGACUUGGUAUAGGGGCGAAAGACUACUCGAACUAUCAUCUAGUAGCUGGUUCCCUCUGAAGUUUCCCUCAGGAUAGCUGGAGUACGUAAUAAAGCUGUUAUAUUCGGUAAAGCGAAUGAUUAGAGGAAUUGUGGGACAAACGUCUUCAACCUAUUCUCAAACUUUCAAUGAGUAUGACGUCUUGCUUGCUUGAAUGAAACAUAGAAAUUGCAGUGUGCUCCAAAUGGGCUAUUUUUGGUAAGCAGAACUGGCGCUGUGGGAUGGACCAAAAGCUUGAUGAUAAAUUCUUUCAAUUUAAAAAACGGGAAAAGAUGAAUGACAUUCAGCAGAU
rnacentral:ncRNA from 1 species